AACGAACGCUGGCGGCAUGCCUAACACAUGCAAGUCGAACGAGACCUUUGGGUCUAGUGGCGCACGGGUGCGUAACGCGUGGGAAUCUGCCCUUGGGUUCGGAAUAACAGUGAGAAAUUGCUGCUAAUACCGGAUGAUGUCUUCGGACCAAAGAUUUAUCGCCCAGGGAUGAGCCCGCGUAGGAUUAGCUAGUUGGUGGGGUAAUGGCCUACCAAGGCGACGAUCCUUAGCUGGUCUGAGAGGAUGAUCAGCCACACUGGGACUGAGACACGGCCCAGACUCCUACGGGAGGCAGCAGUGGGGAAUAUUGGACAAUGGGCGCAAGCCUGAUCCAGCAAUGCCGCGUGAGUGAUGAAGGCCUUAGGGUUGUAAAGCUCUUUUACCAGGGAUGAUAAUGUCAGUACCUGGAGAAUAAGCUCCGGCUAACUCCGUG
rnacentral:rRNA from 1 species